CAGCCGCCACGGUAAUACGUAGGGUGCGAGCGUUAAUCGGAAUUACUGGGCGUAAAGCGUGCGCAGGCGGUUAUAUAAGACAGAUGUGAAAUCCCCGGGCUCAACCUGGGACCUGCAUUUGUGACUGUAUAGCUAGAGUACGGUAGAGGGGGAUGGAAUUCCGCGUGUAGCAGUGAAAUGCGUAGAUAUGCGGAGGAACACCGAUGGCGAAGGCAAUCCCCUGGACCUGUACUGACGCUCAUGCACGAAAGCGUGGGGAGCAAACAGGAUUAGAUACCCCGGUAGUCCCUGUCUCUUAUAC
rnacentral:rRNA from 1 species